rnacentral:rRNA from 1 species
UACGUAGGGUGCAAGCGUUAAUCGGAAUUACUGGGCGUAAAGCGUGCGCAGGCGGUUUUGUAAGUCUGUCGUGAAAUCCCCGGGCUCAACCUGGGAAUUGCGAUGGAGACUGCAAGGCUAGAAUCUGGCAGAGGGGGGUAGAAUUCCACGUGUAGCAGUGAAAUGCGUAGAGAUGUGGAGGAACACCGGAAUGGCGAAGGCAGCCCC